CUCUGUUUCUCUCAAUUUCGAAAUUUGAUUGGAGUUUUUUUUUUUUAAUACAACUGAUUAUUUGGGCACUAAAAAAAAACUAAAAAUGGUAGCACCACAAAACAGUCGCACGUCCUAAAUUUAGGAAAUGGAGCGGGUUCGGUAUAACAAACAUCACUGUAGUUGCAAUAUAUUACCAGUGCCACUUGAUAAACUGAAGAAGAAACUUGUGGGACGAAGAUGCCGACCAACAGCCACCCUACAACUGCAACUGCUGCUUACGGAGAGAGCUGGUACUGGGACAAGCGUUACGCUUCUUCUAGCUCUGGAUCAGGAUCAGGAUCAGAAUCAGAAGCCUCCUUUGAUUGGUACCAGAAAUACCCAUCUCUAGCCCCGCUCCUCCACCUCUACAUUCCCCGCCACCACCGCGUUCUCGUCGUUGGCUGCGGCAACUCUGCAUUUAGCGAAGGCAUGGUUAAUGACGGCUAUGCUCAAGUUUUCAACAUUGAUAUAUCAUCAGUUGUGAUUGCGGCAAUGCAAAGGAAGUACUCCUCUUGUUCUCAACUGAAAUAUAAAUUAAAGCUAAAAGCUUUCCAAAUUAAGAAAAAGUGCACCAUAUGCCACAAGCCCCAGAACAAGCUCAUGCAUGGACUGAGAAGCGUAGAAGAAACAGGAUAUUGCGCUGUGAUCAAGAGCAAGUGUUUAGAUAUGAAGAUGGAUGUGAGAGAUAUGAACGCCUUCGAAGCAGGUUCCUUUGAUGCAGUUGUUGAUAAAGGAACUUUGGACUCUAUCUUGUGCGGGAACAAUUCACAAGAAAAUGCUGCUAAGAUGCUCCAGGAGGUUGGCAGUUGAUAACACACUAUAUAGGGUCCUGGAGGAUAGAGGCAUAUACCUCCUGAUUACAUAUGGAGCACCAAAUUAUCGACUACACUUAUUGAGAAAUUCAUGCUCAUGGACAAUCAAACUACACGUGAUAGGUAAACUUCUGUCAGAAGAAACCUCACAAUGUCGGGAAUGGGAUCUAACCUUUCCUGUUCCACUGGAUGAUGAUGGAAUCUCUACUGAAGCAGUCUUGGGAAAGAACCCCGAUGUCCACUACAUAUACGUCUGUAUUAAGGACAAGAAGCAUGAAUCCACCAUUUGAGGGCAGGGCACUGUACUCUAUUGAUUAAAUGAUUGCUAGUUAUGAGUUUAAUAGAUUCAAAUGGCAAGUGUGAUUGUGUGACUGUCGAGUUUGUACAAUAGGCAUAGCCCUUGCUUACAUAUAAUUUCUAUGGAUUAGGUGCAUUGUAUUUCUGUCAAGACAAAGGUCACCUUGUGGUUCAAAAGUGAUCUUGAAUGUCUUCGAAUUAGUGAUGGUACAACUGUUAUAUCUUGUAGAUUUCUUCUUUCUUUUUAAGGUCAUCUUCUUUCCCCCAAUUAUGCUAUAGCAUUUUCAUGGUCAACUGUACGCGAAUGAUUAUGCCAAAUAGCUAAUUGAUGUGUAAAGCUUAGUUUUUGAUUGUUUUUGUC